GGGUUAUUAGCUCAGCGGUAGAGCAUCUGCCUUACAAGCAGAGGGUCACUGGUUCGAUCCCAGUAUUGCCCA
rnacentral:tRNA from 2 species